rnacentral:misc_RNA from 1 species
AAGGAUCAUUACUGAAUUGUCAACAAGAGUUGUUGCUGGUCCUCAAAUGGGGGCAUGUGCACGCUCUGUUCACACAUCCACUCACACCUGUGCACCCUCUGUAGUUCUAUGGUUAGGGGGGCCUGUCCCUCCCACCAUGGUUCUGCGUCUUUACCACACACACUGUAACAAAGUCUCAUGGAAUGUGUGCCGCGUUUAACGCAAUACAAUACAACUUUCAGCAACGGAUCUCUUGGCUCUCGCAUCGAUGAAGAACGCAGCGUAGCCACAAGGCAACGAUGUGGAAGUAAAAGUCGUAACAAG